CCUGGUUGAUCUUGCCAGUAGUCAUAUGCUUGUCUCAAAGAUUAAGCCAUGCAAGUGAAAGUAUAUAUAUAUUUUAUAUGUAGAAACUGCGAACGGCUCAUUAAAACAGUUAUAGUCUACUUGACAUUUUUAUUAUAAGGAUAACUACGGAAAAGCUGUAGCUAAUACUUGCUUUAUUAUCCUUUGAUUUUUAUCUUUGGAUAAGUAUUUGUUAGGCCUUAUAAGAAAAAAGUUAUUAACUUAAGGAAUUAUAACAAAGAAGUAACACGUAAUAAAUUUAUUUUAUUUAGUGUGUAUCAAUCGAGUUUCUGACCUAUCAGCUUUUGAUGUUAGGGUAUUGGCCUAACAUGGCUAUGACGGGUAACGGGGAAUUAGAGUUCGAUUCCGGAGAGGGAGCCUGAGAAAUAGCUACCACAUCUAAGGAAGGCAGCAGGCGCGUAAAUUACCCAAUUCUAAAGAAGAGAGGUAGUGACAAGAAAUAACAAUGCAAGGCCAAUUUUUGGUUUUGUAAUUGGAAUGGUGGGAAUUUAAAACCUUCCCAGAGUAACAAUUGGAGGGCAAGUCUGGUGCCAGCAGCCGCGGUAAUUCCAGCUCCAAUAGCGUAUAUUAAAAUUGUUGCAGUUAAAACGCUCGUAGUUGAAUUUCAAAGAAUCGAUAUUUUAUUGCAACUAUUCUAGGGGAACUAUUUUAGCUUUUCGCUUUAAUACGCUUCCUCUAUUAUUAUGUUCUUUAAAUAACAAAGAUUCUUUUUAAAAUCCCCACUUUUGCUUUUGCUUUUUGGGGAUUUUGUUACUUUGAGUAAAUUAGAGUGUUCAAAGCAAACAGUUAAAGCAUUUACUGUGUUUGAAUACUAUAGCAUGGAAUAACAAAAUUGAACAAGCUAAAAUUUUUUGUUCUUUUUUCUUAUUUUGGCUUAGUUACGAUUAAUAGGAGUAGCUUGGGGACAUUCGUAUUCAGAUGUCAGAGGUGAAAUUCUUAGAUUUUCUGGAGACGAACAACUGCGAAAGCAUUUGUCUAAAAUACUUCCAUUAAUCAAGAACGAAAGUUAAGGGAGUGAAGACGAUCAGAUACCGUCGUAAUCUUAACCAUAAACUAUGCCGACUAGGUGUUGGAUGAAAGUGUUAAAAAUAAAAGUCAUCUUUCGAGGUGACUUUUAGAUUGCUUCCUUCAGUACCUUAUGAGAAAUCAAAGUCUUUGGGUUCUGGGGCGAGUAUUCGCGCAAGCGAGAAAGUUAAAAGAAUUGACGGAAGGGCACCACCAGGCGUGGAGCUUGCGGCUUAAUUUGACUCAACACGGGGAAACUCACUAGUUUAAGACAAGAGUAGGAUUGACAGAUUAAUAGCUCUUUCUUGAUUUCUUGGAUGGUGAUGCAUGGCCGUUUUUAGUUCGUGAAUAUGAUUUGUCUGGUUAAUUCCGAUAACG
rnacentral:rRNA from 1 species